rnacentral:rRNA from 1 species
UACGUAGGGUGCAAGCGUUGUCCGGAAUUAUUGGGCGUAAAGAGCUCGUAGGCGGCUUGUCGCGUCGGCUGUGAAAACCUGGGGCUCAACCCCGGGCCUGCAGCCGAUACGGGCAAGCUAGAAUUCGGUGGGGGAGACUGGAAUUCCUGGUGUAGCGGUGAAAUGCGCAGAUAUCAGGAGGAACACCGGUGGCGAAGGCGGGUCUCUGGGCCGAUAUUGACGCUGAGGAGCGAAAGCGUGGGGAGCGAACAGG